rnacentral:rRNA from 1 species
UACGUAGGGUCCGAGCGUUGUCCGGAAUUAUUGGGCGUAAAGAGCUCGUAGGCGGUUUGUCGCGUCUGCUGUGAAAUCCCGAGGCUCAACCUCGGGUCUGCAGUGGGUACGGGCAGACUGGAGUGCGGUAGGGGAGAAUGGAAUUCCUGGUGUAGCGGUGGAAUGCGCAGAUAUCAGGAAGAACACCCGUGGCGAAGGCGGCUCUCUGGGACGGUACUGACGCUGAGACGCGAAAGCGUGGGGAGCGAACAGG